UCGAACGCGUCUCCGUUGAUGAUUUUAGGUGCUUGCACUUGAAAAAUUUAACAUUGAGACGAGUGGCGAACUGGUGAGUAACACGUGGGUAACCUGCCCUUGAAGUAGGGGAUAACACUUGGAAACAGGUGCUAAUACCGUAUAACAACCAAAACCACCUGGUUUUGGUUUAAAAGACGGCUUCGGCUGUCACUUUAGGAUGGACCCGCGGCGCAUUAGCUUGUUGGUAAGGUAACGGCUUACCAAGGCGAUGAUACGUAGCCGACCUGAGAGGGUAAUCGGCCAUAUUGGGACUGAGACACGGCCCAAACUCCUACGGGAGGCAGCAGUAGGGAAUCUUCCACAAUGGACGAAAGCCUGAUGGAGCAACGCCGCGUGAGUGAUGAAGGGUUUCGGCUCGUAAAACUCUGUUGUUGGAGAAGAACAGGUGUCAGAGUAACUGUUGACAUCUUGACGGUAUCCAACCAGAAAGCCACGGCUAACUACGUGCCAGCAGCCGCGGUAAUACGUAGGUGGCAAGCGUUGUCCGGAUUUAUUGGGCGUAAAGCGAGCGCAGGCGGUUUUUUAGGUCUGAUGUGAAAGCCUUCGGCUUAACCGGAGAAGUGCAUCGGAAACCGGGAGACUUGAGUGCAGAAGAGGACAGUGGAACUCCAUGUGUAGCGGUGAAAUGCGUAGAUAUAUGGAAGAACACCAGUGGCGAAGGCGGCUGUCUGGUCUGUAACUGACGCUGAGGCUCGAAAGCAUGGGUAGCGAACAGGAUUAGAUACCCUGGUAGUCCAUGCCGUANACGAUGAGUGCUAAGUGUUGGAGGGUUUCCGCCCUUCAGUGCUGCA
rnacentral:rRNA from 1 species